UACGGGGGGGGCAAGCGUUGUUCGGAAUUACUGGGCGUAAAGGGCUCGUAGGUGGCCAACUAAGUCAGACGUGAAAUCCCUCGGCUUAACCGGGGAACUGCGUCCGAUACUGGAUGGCUUGAGUUCGGGAGAGGGAUGCGGAAUUCCAGGUGUAGCGGUGAAAUGCGUAGAUAUCUGGAGGAACACCGGUGGCGAAGGCGGCAUCCUGGACCGACACUGACACUGAGGAGCGAAAGCCAGGGGAGCAAACGGG
rnacentral:rRNA from 1 species